AUUGAACGCUGGCGGCAGGCCUAACACAUGCAAGUCGAGCGGAUGAAGGGUGCUUGCUCCUGGAUUCAGCGGCGGACGGGUGAGUAAUGCCUAGGAAUCUGCCUGGUUGUGGGGGAUAACGUCCGGAAACGGGCGCUAAUACCGCAUACGUCCUGAGGGAGAAAGGGGGGGAUCUUCGGACCUUCCGCCAUUAGAUGAGCCUAGGUCGGAUUAGCUAGUUGGUGGGGUAAAGGCCUACCAAGGCGACGAUCCGUAACUGGUCUGAGAGGAUGAUCAGUCACACUGGAACUGAGACACGGUCCAGACUCCUACGGGAGGCAGCAGUGGGGAAUAUUGGACAAUGGGCGAAAGCCUGAUCCAGCCAUGCCGCGUGUGUGAAGAAGGUCUUCGGAUUGUAAAGCACUUUAAGUUGGGAAGAAGGGCAGUAAGUUAAUACCUUGCUGUUUUGACGUUACCAACAGAAUAAGCACCGGCUAACUUCGUG
rnacentral:rRNA from 1 species